GCCGAGCCAAAUAACGUGGGCUUGUCACCCAAGUGGGGGCUAUGAAGUGGUGGGACAUUGACCAAACUCAGAUGGCUGGAUAUGGGAUGGCUAAUAUCUGGCACGCCCAUUCCAAGCCGGGAGUUGAAUCAAGAGGCUCGGGCUAAAGCUUGAGUUGCUUGGCUCCUACAGUUGAGGGUACCGCGUGAGGCUGGCUUCACAGAGCAGCGACUACUUCCCGCUUCCGGCAGUGGAAGGAUGACGAGUUGGUGUCACCCGGAUCCACAUAGCCAAAUGGGCUGUUCUAAUUGGACCACCACUUUU
rnacentral:SRP_RNA from 1 species